GUAGGGCUAAUUUUGGCCACAAAUUCACAUAAUCUAGCCAACAAAAGGCACACGUUCUCAGUUGGACAGAAUAUGUUCAGCCACAUGUUCACAUAUUCUCUGGAUAGACAGGGGAACUCACGGCUGAACACAUUUCGGGCGAGACUCACGGCCAAAGAGAACUCACUAGGCCAAAAACUCUUGAUCACGCACAUGUGAGGUGAGGACAAGAAGAUACUCGGCUGAGAUCGCGUGGACUCACGCUGAACAUGUUCAGGAGAGGACGUGAGAACAAAAACAGAGAUUGUAUACGCAAAGGGACAAAAAUAACAAUUCGUCAUAAUGCCGAUUCAAGUAAAACUAUAAAACUCCAGAUCAGGUAUAAUGUGGCUAUCGAUGAGCUAACGAUGCCAAAAUUUUCUUACCAAUCAGCCUUUGGCUCUGCUCUCCACUUCUGAAAUCUGAAGAAGAGGAAGGACGAGCACGUUUCACAGUCAAAUGCGUGCGAUUGUUUCUCACAGACCCGUGACCGAAGCAAAUCUCAAAGUUCUAGAAGGAAUAUUGUCAAGCUCUGUCGGUGAGCACAUAGCAACCGCGACUCCAUUCCCAAUCAGCAUAUCCUUUGAUGUCUGAGUCGGCCGUGAUACACCUCGGCGAGACGCCAUUCCUUUAGCCGGAGAAGACCACGGAUUGUCUCUUGGACACUUCUAAACCUAUAUUCUCGAGCUUGGCCCCUCGAUGAGUAAGUCGCAACAGAGAUCAUGGUGUGAUUUUGGAGGAGUAACUGUUGCCUAGAGACAAGUUGUUGUCGUGGCAACGUGAAGAUGUGGAGCCAAAAAUCAUGAAGACAAGAAGAUGUAGUUGAAACCCCUAGAGAACUGCCUAUGUAGGCAGUUCUGUUCUAAAUAUUGUAUACACUAAUGCUCAUAUAAUGUAGGUUGUUCAUGUAAUGUAAAUUCCCCUCGGAACAAACAGCAAAAACUCAUUAUUCUUCAAUUCUCAUACACUAGUUGUAGUUUUAA